rnacentral:rRNA from 1 species
GACGAACGCUGGCGGCGUGCUUAACACAUGCAAGUCGAACGAAGUGGCGAACGGGUGAGUAACGCGUAAUCAACCUGCCCUUCAGAGGGGGAAAACAGUUGGAAACGACUGCUAAUACCGCAUACGGAAGGAGGGGAUUGCGUGUGAUUAGCUAGUUGGGGGGGAAACGGCCCACCAAGGCGAUGAUCAGUAGCUGGUCUGAGAGGAUGACCAGCCACAUUGGAACUGAGACACGGCCCAGACUCCUACGGGAGGCAGCAGUGGGGAAUCUUGCGCAAUGGACGAAAGUCUGACGGAGCAACGCCGCGUGAGUGAUGACGGCCUUCGGGUUGUAAAGCACUGUUAGUCGGGACGCGGUACCGGAAUAGAAAGCCACGGCUAACUACGUGCCAGCGGCCGCGGUAAUC